AGUGAACGCUGGCGGUAGGCCUAACACAUGCAAGUCGAACGGCAGCACAGUAAGAGCUUGCUCUUACGGGUGGCGAGUGGCGGACGGGUGAGGAAUACAUCGGAAUCUACUUUUUCGUGGGGGAUAACGUAGGGAAACUUACGCUAAUACCGCAUACGACCUACGGGUGAAAGCAGGGGAUCUUCGGACCUUGCGCGAUUGAAUGAGCCGAUGUCGGAUUAGCUAGUUGGCGGGGUAAAGGCCAACCAAGGCGACGAUCCGUAGCUGGUCUGAGAGGAUGAUCAGCCACACUGGAGCUGAGACGCGGUCCAGACUCCUACGGGAGGCCGCAGUGGGGAAUGUUGGGCAGUGGGCGCAAGCCUGAUCCAGCCAUACCGCGUGGGUGAAGAAGGCCUUCGGGUUGUAAAGCCCUUUUGUUGGGAAAGAAAAGCAGCAGGUUAAUACCCCGCUGUUCUGACGGUACCCAAAGAAUAAGCACCGGCUAACUUCGUG
rnacentral:rRNA from 1 species